rnacentral:lncRNA from 1 species
CAGUAAAAUGUUUUAAUGUAGGAAGCACUAAAGUCUUUGUUCCAACAAAAUUAACUCAGAGAACAAAUUAUUUUACAUAUGUAUACAGAUCAAUCAACAAAAGUACACAUUAUAACAAUUGCUAAACACUGUCCAUAAAGAAAACAUUUCAAAUGAGAAGCGCCAUCGCGGUUUUCUCCUUCUGGGUCACCCAGUGGAAUGAGGGCCCUCGCCAGGGGCUCUUCCCAGACGUCUCUUCACACCAACCGGCUUCCUUCUGAUGGCCCCAUUUUCCUUUAAAACCAGUUCUCAUCAAAUAGGGUGUUUUAUGCACCCUGGCAAAUGAUCAUUUUGACAAGGAUUAAAACUGUAAGCUAAACAGAUGACACAAAUGACAAUUGGGAAUAAUUUUUAGUGGGGACAGAGGCUAAAUACUACCCCCUCCCCUUUUCUACUUCUAACCAAUAUCUUGAGCAUUCAGUGGGACAAUACAGUCUUGCUGGGUCUCUUGAAAUCCUCUAGCAAGAAGCCAGCCAGGAGAAGACCCAGAAGUCCCACACCUGUGGGGCCAGGAUGGCUGCUUGGUUGCUAAACCCAGACAGGUGGGGCCAGGAUGCUGGGUGACUG